AAUCAACGCUGGCGGCGUGCCUCAGACAUGCAAGUCGAACGAUUAAAGCUCUCUUCGGAGAGUGUAUAGAGUGGCGCACGGGUGAGUAACACGUAAGUAAUCUACCCUCGAGUGGGGAAUAACAACCGGAAACGGUUGCUAAUACCGCAUAAUGCAGCGGCACCGCAAGGUGACAGUUGUUAAAGGUUUAUCGCUUGAGGAGGAGCUUGCGGCAGAUUAGCUAGUUGGUAGGGUAACGGCUUACCAAGGCUACGAUCUGUAACCGGUCUAAGAGGACGGUCGGUCACACUGACACUGAAUAACGGGUCAGACUCCUACGGGAGGCAGCAGUCGGGAAUUUUGGGCAAUGGGCGAAAGCCUGACCCAGCAACGCCGCGUGAAGGAUGAAGUAUUUCGGUAUGUAAACUUCGAAAGAAUAGGAAGAAUUAAUGACGGUACUAUUUAUAAGGUCCGGCUAACUACGUGCCAGCAGCCGCGGUAAAG
rnacentral:rRNA from 1 species